rnacentral:rRNA from 1 species
GUGCCAGCAGCCGCGGUAAUACGAAGGGUGCAAGCGUUAAUCGGAAUUACUGGGCGUAAAGCGCGCGUAGGUGGUUCGUUAAGUUGGACGUGAUUGCCCCGGGCUCAACCUGCGAACUGCAUCCAAAACUGGCGAGCUAGAGUAUGGCAGAGGGUGGUGGAAUUUCCUGUGUAACGGUGAAAUGCGUAGAUAUAGGAAGGAACACCAGUGGCGAAGGCGACCACCUGGGCUAAUACUGACACUGAGGUGCGAAAGCGUGGGGAGCAAACAGGAUUAGAAACCCCCGUAGUCC